rnacentral:rRNA from 1 species
UACAACUGACACUGAGGCACGAAAGCGUGGGUAUCAAACAGGAUUAGAUACCCUGGUAGUCCACGCUGUAAACGAUGAUCACUACCUGUUUGCGAUACAUUGUAAGUGGUUAAGCGAAAGCGAUAAGUGAUCCACCUGGGGAGUACGUCGGCAACGAUGAAACUCAAAGGAAUUGACGGGGGCCCGCACAACCGGAGGAGCAUGUGGUUUAAUUCGAUGAUACGCGAGGAACCUUACCUGGGCUUGAACGUAUGGUGCAUGAGUGUGAAAGCACUCUUUCCUUCACAGGACUUCAUACGAGGUGCUGCAUGGUUGUCGUCAGCUCGUCCCGUGAGGUGUUAGGUUAAGUCCUGCAACGAGCGCAACCCCUGUUUUUAGUUGCCACCAGGUUAUGCUGGGCACUCUAGAAAGACUGCCUGCGCAAGCCAGAGAGGAAGGUGGGGAUGACGUCAAAUCAGCACGGCCCUUACGUCCAGGGCUACACACGUGCUACAAUGGUCGGCACAGAGGGUGGCUACCCGGCGACGGGAUGCUAAUCUCCAAAGUCGAUCUUAGUUCGGAUCGAAGUCUGCA